UCCGUUGAAAAGGUACGACGAU
rnacentral:siRNA from 1 species